UGAUGGCUGGCAGUUCCCUGUGAAGUCUUGAAUAACGACUUCACAGUUUUCCUCCAUCAUAAAUCAAAUCACGUGAAUUUCUUCACCCUUUGGCACCGAUGUAACAGAAAUGUUAUAAUCGUUGUCAAUGUGUCAAGGUUUUUUGCGUGUUCAUACAUUA